ensembl:lncRNA
GUUCUCACCACCUCACAAAAGCAGCCUGUGUACAACUCACGGCCAGUCCAAGGGGACCGAGGCACGGGCAGGAACAGGAUUUAAAGGUUACACAGAAAUCUGGAGGAAAAGAGGCACUGCAAUCACAUGGGUCAGCAAUCCAGCGUGACUUUCAUUUCUCUACUUGUACUGGGUUUGAUAGUGUUCCCUGCCUCCCCUGGCCAAGACCAUGUCUAUCUGGAACCUCAGCAUGUGAACUUAUUUGGAAGACAGCGGCGCCUCACCUUCCUGGUAUGUGGACAAGCUCAUGCCUACGUGAGGAAGCCUCUGAAAAAAUCCCAACCCCGUGGGGUCUGGACAGCUUCCAGGCAGAUACAAAGAAACACAAGAAACAGAUACACAGGAGAAGGCGGCCGUGUGACGACUGAGACGGAGACUGGCAUGAGCCACCUACAAGCCAGGAGCUCCAAGGACGGAUGCAACCAGCUGCAGCCAGAGGGGGCAGAGAAGAGUUCUAUCCAGAACCUUCAGAGGGAGCGUGUCCCUGCUGACACUAACUUCAGCCUUCCAGACUCCAGAAUCCCAAGACUACACAAUUCUGUUGUUUGAAGCCACCCAGUUUGUGGUGAUUUGUCACGGCAGCCCCAGGAAACCCAUACACUGUUGAAACACGUCUUUCAGGGAUGUGAUUUAUCCCUAUUCCCAUAUUUGGACAAAGAAAUUAAAUCCUAUGGUAUGACCGA